AUUGAACGCUGGCGGCAUGCCUAACACAUGCAAGUCGAGCGGAUGAAGGGAGCUUGCUCCUGGAUUCAGCGGCGGACGGGUGAGUAAUGCCUAGGAAUCUUCCUGUUAGUAGGGGAUAACGUCCGGAAACGGGCGCUAAUACCGCAUACGUCCUGAGGGAGAAAGUGGGGGAUCUUCGGACCUCACGCUAUCAGAUGAGCCUAGGUCGGAUUAGCUAGUUGGUGGGGUAAAGGCCUACCAAGGCGACGAUCCGUAACUGGUCUGAGAGGAUGAUCAGUCACACUGGAAGUGAGACACGGUACAGACUCCUACGGGAGGCAGAAGUGGGGAAUAUUGGACGAUGGGCGAAAGACUGAUCAAGCCAUGCCGCGUGUGUGAAGAAGGUCUUCGGAUUGUAAAGCACUUUAAGUUGGGAGGAAGGGCAGUAAGUUAAUACCUUGCUGUUUUGACGGUACCAACAGAAUAAGCACCGGCUAACUUCGUG
rnacentral:rRNA from 1 species